rnacentral:lncRNA from 1 species
AAUAGAAGAUUGAGGAACGCCACCAUAGAGGGAUAACUUUCAAUACCUCAUCCUUAGAAUUGAAACUGGCCACCCAAGGUUUAACAACAGGCUUAGUAUUGAUCAUAUGAGGGCCAAAACUAAGUAUUACAUCUCUAUUCGCUAUUGAUUGGAAUUCACAACAUAAUAACCCUCAUUGUGAUAAUUGAGUUUAGCUUUCUGAGUGAAUUUACCCUUGCUCUCAAGGAAGCUAGCUACAAUUGCUAUAGUUGGGGAAUCCCAAAUAACAUAUAGUAUCAUAGCACUUCUCCAAAUUAUAGAUUCACUAGCUACCUACUCUUUGUCCUGUUGUCCUAUUUUGACUCUAUCCUUAAGCACAGUGGUAUGAAUUGAAUCUAUGUUGCUCGGACUUUUCAAAAACGUCAAUGAGUGCGUGUCGGAUUCUCCAAAAGUAGUGUAUUUUUGAAGAAUCCGACAUAGAUGCGGCAUCGAAAGUGAAGAGUCCGUGCAACUUAGAAUUGAAUACAAUUUUAGCAUAAAAAAUAUGCAACAUGCAAAAUUCAUAUAUAUGCUAAUACUAAAAAAAUCAUAAUAAUGGUGCACCAUAUACCAAAUUAGAUAUUAUCAUUGUGAAAUAUAUGCAGUUUAUGGCUUCGGUCUUAUCCUAACCAAUUUUUUAGUCAAACUUUUCUUAUUAAGAAAAUAAUUUAACAUUUGUUCAGUCUAAAAUCCACAAGAGAUGGUCAUGGAGUAAUAACAAAUGUCUUUAGCUUACUUAUUUCAGUCAUCAAGAAAUUUUUAAAAACUGAAUAUUUCAAUUUAUAGAUGUACAAAAUUAAAGAUUGAAACAGACAACAUUUUAAUAUAGGCUAAGAAUUUUGAGAUAUUUUGACAACAUUUAAAUAUGCAUAAGACAACCGAUUUAAUGGUUAAAAUUUUUAAAAUAUAAAUAUUUAUUGCAUAUGAAAUUGUGAAUUUUUUGAGAGAAGGGUAACUUCAUAUGAAAUUUUGAUUUUUGUAUGAUUGUAGUUGUUGCAGCGAUUGUAGAAACACAUUAUUAGUUUCUCCAAUUUCGGAAUAAAUGAUAUAUGGUAGAAGAUUGAGGAACGUCACCAUAGAGGGAUAACUUUCAAUACCUUAUCCUUAACAUUGAAACUGGCCACCCAAGGUUUAACAACAUACUUAGUAUUGAUCAUGUGAGGGCGAAAACUAAGUAUUACAUCUCUAUCCGCUAUUGAUUGGAAUUCACAACAUAAUAACCCUCAUUGUGAUAAUUGACUUUAGCUUUCUGAGUGAAUUUACCUUGUUCUCAAGGAAUCUAGCUACAAUUGCUAUAGUUGGGGAAUCCCAAAUAACAUAUAGUAUCAUAGCACUUCUCCAAAUUAUAGAUUCACUAGCUACCUACUCUUUGUCCUGUUGUCCUAUUUUGACUCUAUCCUUAAGCACAGUGGUAUGAAUUGAAUCUAUGUUGCUCGGACUCUUCAAAAACGUCAAUGAGUG